rnacentral:rRNA from 1 species
AUUGAACGCUGGCGGCAUGCCUUACACAUGCAAGUCGAACGGCAGCACGGGAGCAAUCCUGGUGGCGAGUGGCGAACGGGUGAGUAAUAUAUCGGAACGUGCCCAGUCGUGGGGGAUAACGUAGCGAAAGCUACGCUAAUACCGCAUACGAUCUAUGGAUGAAAGCGGGGGAUCGCAAGACCUCGCGCGAUUGGAGCGGCCGAUAUCAGAUUAGCUAGUUGGUGAGGUAAAGGCUCACCAAGGCGACGAUCUGUAGCGGGUCUGAGAGGAUGAUCCGCCACACUGGAACUGAGACACGGUCCAGACUCCUACGGGAGGCAGCAGUGGGGAAUUUUGGACAAUGGGCGCAAGCCUGAUCCAGCCAUGCCGCGUGAGUGAAGAAGGCCUGGUGUAAGCCUUCGUCCGGAGAANACGCACAGGUUAAUACCUGUGUGGAGUGACGGUACCGGAAGUAAGAAG